rnacentral:rRNA from 1 species
GACGAAUGCUGGCGGCGUGCUUAACACAUGCAAGUCGAACGGAAAGGCCCUGCUUUUGUGCGGUGCUCGAGUGGCGAACGGGUGAGUAACACGUGAGUAACCUGCCCUUGACUUUGGGAUAACUUCAGGAAACUGGGGCUAAUACCGGAUAGGAGCUCCUGCUGCAUGGUGGGGGUUGGAAAGUUUCGGCGGUUGGGGAUGGACUCGCGGCUUAUCAGCUUGUUGGUGGGGUAGUGGCUUACCAAGGCUUUGACGGGUAGCCGGCCUGAGAGGGUGACCGGCCACAUUGGGACUGAGAUACGGCCCAGACUCCUACGGGAGGCAGCAGUGGGGAAUAUUGCACAAUGGGCGGAAGCCUGAUGCAGCAACGCCGCGUGCGGGAUGACGGCCUUCGGGUUGUAAACCGCUUUCGCCUGUGACGAAGCGUGAGUGACGGUAAUGGGUAAAGAAGCACCGGCUAACUACGUG